rnacentral:rRNA from 1 species
GACGAACGCUGGCGGCGUGCUUAACACAUGCAAGUCGAACGGUAAGGCCCUUCGGGGUACACGAGUGGCGAACGGGUGAGUAACACGUGGGUGAUCUGCCCUGCACUUCGGGAUAAGCCUGGGAAACUGGGUCUAAUACCGGAUAGGACCCUGGGAUGCAUGUCCUGGGGUGGAAAGCUUUUGCGGUGUGGGAUGGGCCGGCGGCCUAUCAGAUUGUUGGUGGGGUGAUGGCCUACCACGGCGACGACGGUUAGCCGGCCUGAGAGGGUGACCGGCCACACUGGGACUGAGAUACGGCCCAGACUCCUACGGGAGGCAGCAGUGGGGAAUAUUGCACAAUGGGCGCAAGCCUGAUGCAGCGACGCCGCGUGAGGGAUGACGGCCUUCGGGUUGUAAACCUCUUUCAGCACCGACGAAGCGCAAGUGACGGUAGGUGCAGAAGAAGGACCGGCCAACUACGUGCCAGCCGCCGCAGUAA